UUCCUACGGGAGGCAGCAGUAGGGAAUCUUCCGCAAUGGACGAAAGUCUGACGGAGCAACGCCGCGUGAGCGAAGAAGGUCUUCGGAUUGUAAAGCUCUGUUGUUAGGGAAGAACAAGUGUGGUUCGAAUAGGGCCGUACCUUGACGGUACCUAACGAGAAAGCCACGGCUAACUACGUGCCAGCAGCCGCGGUAAUAA
rnacentral:rRNA from 1 species